UGAACGCUGGCGGCGUGCUUAACACAUGCAAGUCGAACGAGAAAGGGAAUGCUUGCAUUCCUGAGUAGAGUGGCGCACGGGUGAGUAACGCGUGGAUAAUCUACCUUUGAAUUUGGGAUAACAUUGCGAAAGCGGUGCUAAUACCGGAUGAAGUUAUAGAUUUUUCGGAAUUAAUAAUGAAAGAUAGCCUCUGCUUGCAAGCUAUUGUUUGAAGAUGAGUCCGCGUACCAUUAGCUAGUUGGUGGGGUAAGAGCUCACCAAGGCAACGAUGGUUAGCUGGUCUGAGAGGAUGAUCAGCCACACUGGAACUGGAACACGGUCCAGACUCCUACGGGAGGCAGCAGUGAGGGAUUUUGCGCAAUGGGGGAAACCCUGACGCAGCAACGCCGCGUGAGUGAUGAAGGCUUUUGGGUCGUAAAGCUCUGUCAAUGGGAAAGAAAGUGUUAUGGGUUAAUAGCCAAUAAUAUUGACGGUACCCAUGAAGGAAGCACCGGCUAACUCC
rnacentral:rRNA from 1 species